rnacentral:lncRNA from 1 species
AGGUCCAAAGACGCCAACAAAAGCUCCAUUUUGACCUUCCAAUGGUAGAAAUUGUUCCCUCUAAACUUCUCAAUCACUCUCAAAACUUCACCCUCACUAGAAGCCAUGUCUAAGGAAGAGUGUAUCAAAAAAUAUUGAAAAAAGGAGUCUCUAAAAGCUUAAAAUCACCAAACGAAGUUUGCACUAGCAGAAUCUCAGAAUGCCCUGUUAUGAACAAAAGAGUGGUAUCUCACUGGAAACACUUUCAACUCAACUUGUGAAGCUUUCUUCAAGUAAUUGCACCCUCAUGGAACUCACAAUCACUCAUCUUAAUCACUUUCUCAUCAAAAUACUCAAGGAUAAUGAAGAAACUUCACCAACUCAAAAGACACUAUCAAGGUCUUUCUACAAAGUCUUAACCUCA